UACGAAGGGGGCUAGCGUUGCUCGGAAUCACUGGGCGUAAAGCGCACGUAGGCGGAUUGUUAAGUCAGGGGUGAAAUCCUGGAGCUCAACUCCAGAACUGCCUUUGAUACUGGCGAUCUUGAGUCCGGGAGAGGUGAGUGGAACUGCGAGUGUAGAGGUGAAAUUCGUAGAUAUUCGCAAGAACACCAGUGGCGAAGGCGGCUCACUGGCCCGGAACUGACGCUGAGACGCGAAAGCGUGGGGAGCAAACAGG
rnacentral:rRNA from 1 species